CAAUUCUCAAUACACAAACCAAAAUCAACUCUGGACGCGGGAUCCGACUACAUUUGGGUCACCCAUGUUUUCAAAUGGAUCAUAUAUAUUCCUUUUUAACGCUUUCUUCUCUCCCGUAACUUCAUUUUUCAGAAACCCUAAAUACCAAACAUUCUUCUCCUUCACGCUACAGGAUCCCAAUGUUCAUCCUUCUCCUUCUUCAACUUCUUUGAUCCAUUUGGUGGUUGAUUCUAUCAACAAACCCUAAUCGCCAAGUUGGGGAGUUGGUGGAAUUGAAGCAGAGGCUGCAAUGCUUGGCAUCGAAUGAGCAUGGUGUUGCCUGAUGUUGUUGGGUUCAAGUUAUUAGGAAUACGUGAUGGUGUAACAACUAUUGAUUUGGUUUUGAUUGUUACCCAAAUGUUAAGAAAACAUGGUGUUGUAGGUAAAUUUCUUGAAUUCCAUGUUAGGUGAUGGUGUGGGUAAAAUACCACUUGCUGACAGGGCUACUAUUGCCAACAUGUCGCUUGAGUAUGAUGCAACAAUGUGGUUAUUCCCAGUGGACGAAGUGAUGAUAC